GAUGAACGCUGGCGGCGUGCUUAACACAUGCAAGUCGAGCGAUGAAGUUUCCUUCGGGAAACGGAUUAGCGGCGGACGGGUGAGUAACACGUGGGUAACCUGCCUCAUAGAGUGGAAUAGCCUUCCGAAAGGAAGAUUAAUACCGCAUAAUGUUGAAAGAUGGCAUCAUCAUUUAACCAAAGGAGCAAUCCGCUAUGAGAUGGACCCGCGGCGCAUUAGCUAGUUGGUGGGGUAACGGCCUACCAAGGCGACGAUGCGUAGCCGACCUGAGAGGGUGAUCGGCCACAUUGGGACUGAGACACGGCCCAGACUCCUACGGGAGGCAGCAGUGGGGAAUAUUGCACAAUGGGGGAAACCCKGAUGCAGCAACGCCGCGUGAGUGAUGAAGGUUUUCGGAUCGUAAAGCUCUGUCUUUGGGGAAGAUAAUGACGUACCCAA
rnacentral:rRNA from 1 species